UUUUUAGUGUAAGUAUAUCCCAUGAAAUGUUUAGGAUGUACAUAUACUAAAA
rnacentral:pre_miRNA from 1 species